rnacentral:rRNA from 1 species
UACGAAGGGGGCUAGCGUUGUUCGGAAUUACUGGGCGUAAAGCGCACGUAGGCGGAUUUGUAAGUCAGGGGUGAAAUCCCGGGGCUCAACCUCGGAACUGCCUUUGAUACUGCGGGUCUUGAGUCCGAUAGAGGUGGGUGGAAUUCCUAGUGUAGAGGUGAAAUUCGUAGAUAUUAGGAAGAACACCGGUGGCGAAGGCGGCCCACUGGAUCGGUACUGACGCUGAGGUGCGAAAGCGUGGGGAGCAAACAGG